rnacentral:rRNA from 1 species
AAGGAAUAAGCAUCGGCUAACUACGUGCCAGCAGCCGCGGUAAUACGUAGGAUGCAAGCGUUAUCCGGAUUUACUGGGUGUAAAGGGAGCGCAGGCGGGACUGCAAGUUGGAUGUGAAAUACCGUGGCUUAACCACGGAACUGCAUCCAAAACUGUAGUUCUUGAGUGAAGUAGAGGCAAGCGGAAUUCCGAGUGUAGCGGUGAAAUGCGUAGAUAUUCGGAGGAACACCAGUGGCGAAGGCGGCUUGCUGGGCUUUAACUGACGCUGAGGCUCGAAAGUGUGGGGAGCAAACAGGAUUAGAUACCCUGGUAGUCCACACUGUAAACGAUGAUAGCUAGGUGUGGGGGGUCUGACCCCUUCCGAGCCGGAG